rfam:Martelella sp. AD-3, complete genome.
AUAAAACAGGCAGGGAGCUUAAAUUCUUGCCUUUUCUUCGCGGUCAAGUCUUGGGAGGAUCGAUCCUGGCGCGCUUGUUCGCAGCCCCGGAAACGGAACGGAUCACGCGAUACUUGAAAAACAAGGCCCGAGGCCUUGUUUUUUUUU